GUGUUGUGUUGACAGAGUGGAAGUCAGCACUCUUAUAGGAGAGGUCCUCAGGCCUAACAUGCUUAUGUGGAAGACAUUGCUACCUUCAUAGCCUCUAAAUGCUACAUUUC
rnacentral:snRNA from 1 species